ensembl:miRNA
GCUGUGGGGAUCUGGCACUGUGGUUCCUGCAUGAAAACCGUGGCUGGUGGUACCCAUACCUACAAUACCACUUCUGCAGUCACAGUCAAGUCAGCC